rnacentral:rRNA from 2 species
AAAUUGAAGAGUUUGAUCAUGGCUCAGAUUGAACGCUGGCGGCAGGCCUAACACAUGCAAGUCGAACGGUAACAGGAAGAAGCUUGCUUCUUUGCUGACGAGUGGCGGACGGGUGAGUAAUGUCUGGGAAACUGCCUGAUGGAGGGGGAUAACUACUGGAAACGGUAGCUAAUACCGCAUAACGUCGCAAGACCAAAGAGGGGGACCUUCGGGCCUCUUGCCAUCGGAUGUGCCCAGAUGGGAUUAGCUAGUAGGUGGGGUAACGGCUCACCUAGGCGACGAUCCCUAGCUGGUCUGAGAGGAUGACCAGCCACACUGGAACUGAGACACGGUCCAGACUCCUACGGGAGGCA